rnacentral:lncRNA from 10 species
AGUGAGCAGUACUAGGAAAUCGUUAUCACUUCUAGGCUGAAGAAGCACAAAAGAAGACAGUGCUCUGUAGGGAGCCCUGGCAGGAUCUGUAAUCAUGGAGGGCCUAAGGCACUACUAGAGCUACAGAGGGGCGAGGGCUGGGGAAGGAUUCAUACCCCAAUCUUUCCUCCUGCCUUCUGAGCCAUUACCAAUACCUCCCAACUGUCAACCCCAACUAGAAGCCCAUGCAGGUGGCAAAGGAGCUCAGGCGAUGCACCCUACCAGGAACAGUUUUCCAGGGCACACAGAGGGCAAGAAAGGGUCUUCACACGCUAUGGAAAGUGCUACACGUUCAACUCGGGCCGAGAUGG